rnacentral:misc_RNA from 1 species
GAUGAAGAACGCAGCGAAAUGCGAUACGUAGUGUGAAUUGCAGAAUUCAGUGGAUCAUCGAAUCUUUGAACGCACAUUGCGCCCUUUGGUAUUCCAAAGGGCAUGCCUGUUCGAGCGUCAUUUGUACCCUCAAGCUUUGCUUGGUGUUGGGCGUCUUUUGUCUCCAGUUCGCUGGAGACUCGCCUUAAAGUCAUUGGCAGCCGGCCUACUGGUUUCGGAGCGCAGCACAAGUCGCGCUCUUAGCCAGCCAAGGUCAGCGUCCAGCAAGCCUUUUUUCAACCUUUGACCUCGGAUCAGGUAGGGAUACCCGCUGAACUUAAGCAUAUCAAUAAGCGGAGGA